AAGACUUUUCUUGAGAAGAGGUAAUCUUAAUUGGAUUGCUGGCUGCCUUUCAAUAAGAUUUUUUUUUUGCUACAUUGUAGUAGUAGUGUUCUAGCUUCCAGACCAUACUUGAUUGGAUUUUUAGGAUCAAUGGAGCAGCAAGUCUCUGUGAAACCCAUGUGUUCUUUUAGCAUUAUACAUUGUGCAGGGGGAGGGGCAAAAGAAAAAAAAAAGUCUAUGGAGCUAAUAGUCAUUUUCAUUCAAUUUUCAAGAAUACGAUUGUAUUGUGGCUUGAGUUUCUAUUAAAAUACUGGCAAUCACUUUGUUGUUCUUUUAGGUA
rnacentral:misc_RNA from 1 species